rnacentral:lncRNA from 1 species
UAUAUAUAUAUAUUAGGUAAAAGAUAGAUUUAUUUAUUUUGCUUUAUACUUCCUUUGUUCGGAAAAGAUUGACUGACGCGCAGUGUGCUGGCGUUUUUGUAAAAAAUACCUCGAAAAUUGAAAACUAUCUCAAAUCGAUCUAUGCCUCCAUCUUCUUUCUUCGCUGAUCCCGCGCGUCGCCUGACACACGCCAGCCAGCAGAUUUCGCCGCCGCCCACCUGCGCCUCUGAUUCUGCCGCUGCCCGCGACCUGCGCCUCUAAUUCUGUCGCCGCCACCCACCUGCACCUGCGAUUCCGCGCAUCGCCACUGUUGCCCAGGACCUGCACCUGCGGGAUUCUGCACCUACGCUGCCCAGGACGUGCACCAUCCAGGAACUGCUCUGCCGCCGUUGAGGACCCGUGCCAGCGCAUUCCUCUCUCGCCAUGACCGCCUUCGCUCGUUCCCCAGCCGCCAUCCCCUCUGUGCAUUCCCCUCCAGCCAAGACCCCCCCGGUCGUCGUCGGAGCCUCCUGCCGUGAUCUGGUUGAGGUCGUCCUCCUUGAGCUCUGCAUGCUCCUGGGUGACGAUCUCCUGGACGAGGAGUGCGUGCUGCUGCUCGCGUCCCAGGACACUUUCUCACGCCCGUGGACGCCGGUGCGGGAUUUUGGCAAGUCCCGUGCCGCCGGUCCUCUCUCUGGCGGCUUCCGUAGGCAGGGCCACGCGGGUGUGCCCAGCGGCGAGAUGAUCUGGCAUCCGAUCGAGCACCGUCCCUCGCCGCCGCUGCCUUUUGCCACCCCACCCCUCGCUGCUGCUGCUGCCUGCGUGUGCUGCAAGAAGUAAAGUUUAGUGCUGCUGCCUAUAAAAGUUCAGUGCUGAGCCAUUUGUCUAAAUGAACCUGUUUGUCGCCUGAUUGUUGCAUCCAUGUCAAUGUAGCAUUGCUAUUUACUGAAAUGAAAAUGAUGGAGACAGUAGCAUUGUUCACAUUUUGGCUUUGAACAAGAAGAUGAAUGUAGGAUUCUUUCAUGAUGCUCACCUGAAUGUACAACACCCCAAUCACAGCAGGAACAACAAUUAGAACAACUUGCCAUGUAACCAUUAUCAUCGUAAAAGGGAUGUCGAAGUCCAAGAUGCACAAAUCUCACAAAGCCUGCAUAAAAUGCAUGAUUAAUGGUGCAAAUCUGCAGUAACAUGGUGCAAAUCUGCAGUAACAUGGUGCAAAUAUGCAGUAACUAUGAUUUUUGACAGUAAGAAUAAGAAUGAAAAUUCAGUGAGUAAAUAAGAUUACAGAAUAAGAAUAGGGGCUUGAGGAUGUUCCAAUUAGUGUUCAAGUGAAGAAAAGUGAAGAUAAUGAUGAUUUUUGACUAAAGAUCAGUAACAUUAGAAUAAACAUGAAUUAUACUCCAGUUUCAGUUGAUUACAUAAUCCAUUGCACAUGAAACUACUAGCACUCUACUAGGCAGGCUCAACCCAAUGCACUCGAUAGUGGGCACUACUGGUCUUUGAAGAAAAUAAUUUCAGAUCACAGCAAUAAUAUUUUAGUUAGAGAUGUUUGUAGCUAUGUUUCAGAUCAUAGCAAAAUAAUUGGAGAUGAGUACUGUAGCUAGCACUCCUAGGUGAUAGUAGGAAUGCAAUAUUGAACUAAAGAUCAAUAUUAUGACGGUUGACCAUUUGUUGAACUGUUAAUUUAUUCUUGGCCCAUUUACAAACUGGAUCAACCAGUAUUGAAUAUGGUCAAACAUCAGUACUAAAUUCAUGCAUAAAUUCAAUGAGGAAUCAUAUCAUCAAAUUUACUCACGGAUUUUUAUUCUCUGAAUUAAAGAUUCAAAGGUAAUCUUUAGGCAAUUGUACUCCAUGUAGACAGAAUUAUAAAACCAAAUGUUGUAAUAAUUGAGAACUUGAGACCCUUACCAGAAAAAAAAUCUAAGCAAGCUACUGAAACCAAAUGUUCACAUAGUCUAAACCAAAUGUUUAGAGACAAAUCAUUACAGUAACUACAAGUGACAAGAACUACAGUAACUGAAUAUUCAGUAAUUGUAUAACAUACACUCCAGAAAAUUCAGUGAACUUGAAUUACUUACAAUGAAGAAUUGAAGUACUCCUUGCAAUUAGUUACAGUGAGCUCGUAGUAACAGGCAGCUACUGCUUUGAACUUGCAAUUGGAGCAUUAAUCUUUCCCCUGGAACGAACACUCUGUUUGUUGGUGUUAGUUUUCAAGGAGUUACCUAUUUUGAUUUCAGUUGUUGAUGAGUAAAAGUACUGAGUUCACUGUGUAAUGAAAGAUGAAGAAGCUCAACUGUAGAGUACUGCAUUCACGGAAGGUGUUGAUUACCUAGGUUAUUCAGUGGGACGAACAAAGCUGCUGACUUGGCCUUAUCUCUUGCAGUUCCACCAGCUUGGCAAUGGCGGCCAACUCUUCCUGGAGCAAGGCUUCGGGACCUUCAGCUCCGCCUUGCGGCAGGUCUCCCCCAGCCUCUCGAGGAGGUGCGGGCAUGGCUAGGAGAAGGCUAGGCCCGAGUCUGUAAGAUUAACCUCCACCGCGCCGGGACCUCCCUCCCCUGCCAAAGAUGAAGGACACAGCGAAAGGCGUGCUCGCUGAUGAGGAUGAUCUUUCCAGACGCGGACACGAAUCUCGCCGCCGCCGGACCUAUCCUCCCCGCCAUCCCCAUGUCAUCCAAAGGAGAAAUAACCAAUUUUUCCUGUGCUAUGGACCGAGAGGAGGCCCGAGGGAGCUGUGUGGGAAAUGGAUCAGCGGGGAGCUGUGCAGGGGACCGGGAGGACGCGCGGGGGAGCUGCGCGGCGUGGGUGUGUUGCGCGGUGGCCGACGAUGACGCGACGGAGCAGGCGGCGACACAGGAGGGGAUGUGAGCAGUGACAUGGAUCGCGGGU